rfam:Macrostomum lignano uti_cns_0007768, whole genome shotgun sequence.
GGCAUUGUAGCCUAGUGGUUAGAGCGUUAGACUCAUGACUUGAAAGUCAGGGGUUCAAUUCCCAAUCCCA